AGUGAACGCUGGCGGUAGGCCUAACACAUGCAAGUCGAACGGCAGCACAGUAAGCGCUUGCUCUUACGGGUGGCGAGUGGCGGACGGGUGAGGAAUACAUCGGAAUCUACUUUUUCGUGGGGGAUAACGUAGGGAAACUUACGCUAAUACCGCAUACGACCUACGGGUGAAAGCAGGGGAUCUUCGGACCUUGCGCGAUGUAAUGAGACGAUGUCGGAUUAGCUAGUUGGCGGGGUAAAGGCCCACCAAGGCGACGAUCCGUAGCUGGUCUGAGAGGAUGAUCAGCCACACUGGAACUGAGACACGGUCCAGACUCCUACGGGAGGCAGCAGUGGGGAAUAUUGGACAAUGGGCGCAAGCCUGAUCCAGCCAUACCGCGUGGGUGAAGAAGGCCUUCGGGUUGUAAAGCCCUUUUGUUGGGAAAGAAAAGCAGCAGGUUAAUACCCCGCUGUUCUGACGGUACCCAAAGAAUAAGCACCGGCUAACUUCGUG
rnacentral:rRNA from 1 species